CUCUCGUCUCUCUCAUUCCCUCGUCUCUCUUCUCUCUCCUCAAACCCUAAAAAAUGUCUUGGAAAAAAGCCACAAACUCCCAUCUCUGUCGUCGCCUCUUUCUCAUGGCACCACCACCUUAAGUGAAAAAAUCAAAUUCAUUUUGGUAUUCCUCAUCUCACAGACUUCCCAUUGAACAGGUUGGAUUUCUGUUUCAAGAUAUCUCGCCGUCGACCACCGCCUGUCCUUCUCUGACAACUGAUUUAACUGUGGAACAUUUGAUUUUCACAGUGGAACUUGGGUUUGUGUGCUAUAUAUGCUUGGAUCCUCUGAGGUACCGCAACAAGGGAAGCAGUUUAGACGAAGUUAUAUUAACAACAAAGUAUUCUCAUGCAUUCCACAGUCAAUGGUGGGCAUUUUAAAUGAAGAAAUUUUACUUCUCCAGUUAUCCCUAAACUGGUUUAAGUUAGUACACGCAAACAGGACUUACAUUUAUAUGGACCACAACCUACAUUUGCUACUGCCUUAUCUUAUUAGUACACACAAACAAGACUAACUUGUGAUUCAAACAGGGUUUAGUGAAGACUAUAUCAUGCAGUUCUCAAGAAACCAAGUUGGGCAUUCUGAAAUAUGUCAGUGACAUCAUAAAGCCGGCAAGAAAAGUGAAUAUUUCACAAGGAUGCACUCAUAUUCCCAUGAAUACUAUAUAUUAUAUAUGCUUAAGCACAAGCAUUGCCAGUGUCUUUGAGAAUUUGGUAUUCACAAAUAGAGAUCCAUUAAUAUACACUGGCUUACUCUUCUUAUGGGUCCGCUUAGCUGUGGGAAAACUACCUUACUAAUGGCAUUGGUUGGAAAAGUAGAUCAAUCUCUUAAGAUCAGUUUUAAACACAGUAAUAUAGAAUAAAUUUAGUGUGCAAAGUCAUUGAUUUUAAGUGAUUUUUUUAGCAUAACUCCAAAAUCAAUAAAGAUUCUACAUAUUAAUUGUUGUGAUAUCAUACCUUUUACUUUAGGUUUCUGGAGAAAUCUGUUACAAUGGUCACAGACUAGAUGAAUUUGUUCCUAAAAAAACAUCUGUUACAAUGGUUUCUAAUUAUGUUUGAUAAUCUCGGUAAUUAAUGUGUUUAAAGAAACUUAUAAGUUGAAAGUAUUUUUUUUGAUAAUUUAGCUUUGUUGUCUUUUACUUUCAUGCAAUAACUUAGAAGUUUGUUGUAUUUUUGACAUUAUUGAAUAAAGAAUCACGAUUUUCAUAUUUGAAAAACUAUCAUAAAUUCAUAAUAUUGAGGACCGGUUAACACACUUCACUCUUGUAUAAACAUUUGAUGCUCUGUCGUAUAACUUCUAAACAAACGCUCACCGCCUUUGAUGUUUUGAAAGUCAACUAGAGCAUUCAAGGCAGCAUCACAUCUAGCGAGUGCCACACCACCUCCUGCUCAUGUACUAAGUCGUGGUAUCGGUUGGCAGGGAAUUUGAAUUUUGCUGAAUGGCCUUUUUGGAACACUGAUUGGUUCAAUCGUUUCAGUGUAUGUGAUAUUAAACUUAUUCUCAUUCAUAGUUUUCAUUUUUUGUGAGACAAAAAUUGAAUCUUUUAGUAUCAUGACAGAGAAUGUAGGACUUCUAGGAAGCAACUGUGUCGGAAGUUGAAGAGUCUUUUAAGUUUCUGUUGGCUUUAUGAUAUUCUUCUCGAUGUUAGGUGAGUGACAAACUUUAUAUGAAAUGUUUCGGUGUUAGCAAUUAAAAUUUGACAGGAUAAAUUAAAGUUGUAGCAAUCUGUUUGUUUUAGAGAGAUUGCACAAACAUCAUGUAGCUAUAAGCGCAUUUCCUCUUAUAUUUCAUGAUCUUUACUGGUUUGUUUUUUUUGUACAUUUUUUUAGAAGAAAUCUCUGCGACAAUAUUUUAAAAAUAAAUAUUCCUGCUAUAACUUGUCAUUAAACCUUUGUGAACAGGAAACUGAGAAAAAAAUGACAUGAACUACAAUGUAUCUAUCUACUUACUGCUCUCAUAGGAUCAUGAUGAAAAAUUCACAUUUUGAGUUGGCUGAAUCAUGAUUCAAAAUGCAUAGAAGAACACUUUGGGUGAGCCAAUCCGUUGUUUUGGUGAACCUCUUGACAGGCUGAUGCAAAAAUAGUGACAGUUAAAUUGAUCUUCUAAGGCGUAUAUAUUCGAUUGAUGUUUCAUGUUGGAAUUUUCUCGGUGUAGCAGUGCGUUGGGAUCCUUUAUUUACCGAGUCACUGGUACUCUCAGUUUGAAUAGCCUGUAUCCAUGUACUGUAUUUAGAAUUUAUGCUAUCGGAUUUGGUAGUGGUUGAGAUGGAAAACGAAUAAUUGUUUCAAGGGCCUGCAUUGGAUCUGGCUAGAUUGUUCUAUUCUCUGUCAAUGGAAGUUUGUGGCCGUGUUAUGUUGAUUACAUGGUAUAAUUAACAUGAUGUUGUUGUGUUGUUUUUAUAUGUUGUAAUUUAAUAUAUUUCCGAGGCGCACGUGGUUAUUUUGUUUAAUGUUCUUAGUUUCUCAGAUUCUGUUUGUUUAGUGUUCUUAGUUUCUAAAAAAAAAUCUGUUUGUUUCUGUUUGUAAUGUACAUGCAAACUUUAUAUUUAUGUCUAUGUUUGUUGGUUUAGUAAAAAU